GAUGAACGUUGGCGGCGUGCCUAAUACAUGCAAGUCGAACGAAGACUGUAGUAAUACUGUCUUAGUGGCGAACGGGUGAGUAACGCGUGGGUGACCUGCCCCGAAGUGUGGGAUAACAGUUCGAAAGAACUGCUAAUACCGCAUAAUAUCCAAGAGAUUAGACGCUUUUGGAUUAAAGGAGUAAUUCGCUUACGGGAGGGGCCCGCGUCCCAUCAGCUAGUUGGUAAGGUAAUGGCUUACCAAGGCGAUGACGGGUAGGGGACCUGAGAGGGUGGCCCCCCAAAUGGAACUGAAACACGGUCCAUACACCUACGGGUGGCAGCAGUAGGGAAUAUUGCAAAUGGGCGAAAGCCUGAUGUAGCAACGCCGCGUGUGCGAUGAAGGUCUUCGGAUUGUAAAGCACUUUUUGGAGGGAUGAGGAAGGACAGUACCUCAGAAUAAGCCUCGGCUAACUACGUG
rnacentral:rRNA from 1 species